rnacentral:rRNA from 1 species
AAGUGUCUCCUGCUAAGGAGUCUUUUGUCAUUUGUAGAAUCACUGGUGAAUAAGGGGUGGGCAAGUUCUGGUGUCAGCCGCCGCGGUAAAACCAGCACCUCGAGUGGUCAGGAGGUUUAUUGGGCCUAAAGCAUCCGUAGCCGGUUGCAUAAGUUUUCGGUUAAAUCUAUGCGCUUAACGUAUAGGCCGCCGAAAAUACUGUGCAGCUAGGGAGUGGGAGAGGUACACGGUACUCGAUAGGAAGGGGUAAAAUCCUUUGAUCUAUUGAUGACCACCUGUGGCGAAGGCGGUGUACCAGAACACGUUCGACGGUGAGGGAUGAAAGCUGGGGGAGCAAACCGGAUUAGAUACCCGGGUAGUCCCAGCUGUAAACGAUGCAGACUCGGUGAUGCAUUGGCUUGUGGCCAAUGCAGUGCCGCAGGGAAGCCGUUAAGUCUGCCGCCUGGGAAGUACGUACGCAAGUAUGAAACUUAAAGGAAUUGGCGGGGGAGCACCACAAGGGGUGAAGCCUGCGGUUCAAUUGGAGUCAACGCCAGAAAUCUUACCUGGGGAGACAGCAGAAUGAAGGUCAAGCUGAAGACUUUACCGGACACGCUGAGAGGUGGUGCAUGGCCGUCGCCAGCUCGUGCCGUGAGAUGUCCUGUUAAGUCAGGUAACGAGCGAGACCCCUGCGUCUAGUUGCUACCAUUACUCUCUGGAGCAGUGGAGCGAAUUAGACGGACCGCCACAGUUAAUGUGGAGGAAGGAAGGGGCCACGGCAGGUCAGUAUGCCCCGAAACCCUAGGGCUACACGCGGGCUGCAAUGGUAUUGACCAUGUGUUCCGAAUCCGAAAGGAGGAGGCAAUCAUCAACAAUAUCUCAGUUAUGACUGAGGGCUAACUCGCCGUCACGAAUAUGAAUCCCUAUAACCGCGGGGCUACGCGCGU